rnacentral:rRNA from 1 species
UACGUAGGGAGCAAGCGUUGUCCGGAAUCAUUGGGCGUAAAGCGCGCGUAGGCGGCCCGAUAAGUCCGCUGUGAAAGUCAACGGCUCAACUGUUGGAUGCCGGUGGAUACUGUCGGGCUAGAGUACGGAAGAGGCAAGUGGAAUUCCUGGUGUAGCGGUGGAAUGCGCAGAUAUCAGGAGGAACACCUAUAGCGAAGGCAGCUUGCUGGGACGUUAACUGACG